rnacentral:tRNA from 1 species
AGCAGCGUGGCUUAGUGGUGAGAGCACGGGCUUGGGAGGCGGAGGUCGUGGGUUCUAAUCCCCCCUCUGCCA